CUGGUUUCAGCUUGCUGCAUUUAGGACCGCAGAGACACUGCAGAGCAUACAGGCUGUUUGAAGGCAAAGCUUCUGAAAGGCUGGCGUAUAAGACCAGCACAGGAGAGAUGAACAGAGGUAGCUGCUGUCUGUGUUGCACUUUUUCUCUGAGUUGUAAAAGCAAGCAGAGCAGAAACUGGCUACUCUUUAGUUGUCUGAUCUAGCUGGCAAGACCUGAAUCAAAUGAUGAAACCAGUGGCCAAAUGAUGGAAGACCGAUAUUUGGACGUUUUUUCAGCACAAUGAUCAGAUGGUGACAGGUGUCCCUGCAGCGUCAGACAGCCAAGGAAGACCGGUCUACAUAGCUCAGGAUCAGACGGUGACAGGGGUCUCAUCAGGGUCAGGCAGCCAGGGAAGACCAGUCUGUGGCAGAGCUGCAGAUACAACACUUUAUUUUCUCUGUACAGAAAACAUGGGACAAGCAAGAAGCUUAAAAGAUUUAAACUAUUUUAAAGCAGUCUGACAAACCUCUAAAGUUGAUUUCCAAACUGUACCAAGAGUUGAUAGAGGCUUUUCCCGAUGACACAAAACAUGUGAAACAAAAAUGUGAGGAAGAACUGGGAGAUGCUAUUGAUGAUGAUGAAUGAUACAGAUACGUUUGAAUGUCCAGUCAUGCUCAUAUAAUCUCCGACAUAAAUUAUUACAGUUUAAGACCAUCCAUAGAAUGUACUAUAUGCCAGUGAAACUGAAUAUAAUGCACACAGAAAUGUAAUUAUUCUGCUGGAGGUGUAAAACACAAAAGGGAAAAUAUUUGCAUGUCAGGUCUUGUGAAGGCUGGAUGAAUUCUGGCAAAGAGUAUGUUAUUUUAUCUCAGCAUGUCUACAGAUUCUCCCUUCGUCCUGUUUUUGUUUGCUUGGAAAUGUUGAUACUGGAAACUUAUCAGAAGAAACAGUGUAACCUAGUAUUUAUAGUGGCUAAGAAAUGCAUUGCAAUUAAUUAAAAAUCCAAUUUUAUUGGUCACAUACACAUAUUUGCAGAUGCUAUUGCAGGUGUAGUGAAAUGCUUGUUGGAAGGUUGGUUGAUCCUCCCAUAAUGGAUGGAAGAAAUGUCAAGUUAUGUAUCACUAGAUUUGAUUUAUGACAAGAUGAAGGGUAUGCUGUGCAACUUUCAUAAGGUCAUGCCUUAUAUGGAAUAAAUCAAAUGUUAUUGAUCACAUACAUGUGUUUAGCAGAUGUUAUUAAGGGUGUAGCGAAAUGCUUGUUUUUCUAGCUCCACCAGUGCAGUAAUAUCUAACAAUUUCACAACAUAUACCCAAUACACACACAUUUAAGUAAAUGAAUGUAAUUAAGAUUAUAUAAAUAUAUGAAUGAGCAAUGUCAGAGCGGUGUAGACUAAGACAGUAUAGAAUACAGUAUAUGAGAUGAGUAAUGCAAGAUAUGUAAACAUUAUUAAAGUGACUAGUGUUCCAUUU